GUCGGGGGCGGUACUCACCGCGGCCGUUCUGGUUGGGCCGGUACACGCUGCCCACGCUGAGGCGGCCCUGCUGCGCGCCGUUCCGCUCCCCACCCGGCUGGGGCGCAUCGGAGCUGCGCACAGGCAGGCUGGAGUGCAGUGGAUUCACAGCGGCCCUAAACUCCUAGGUUCAAGCCAUCCUCCUGCCUCAGCUUCUGGGACUGCAGCUGCUUCGGGUGCUUAAUAACAGUUGUCGAACAUUUCCUCGUGUCAAGGUAACUGCCAUGACCGACUUCUCCUUUCAGUGUUCGUGCUGAUUGAUCACAGGAACUCCUGCCUGCCUAGAUGAAGAGGAGGUCAAGACUUUGUCCACCACCCGCCAAAAUACUCACUCUGUUCCGGAGUGGUGUGGGGCUGGCUCCUAACAGCCCCCUACCCCCCGUUAGGACCUUGUCUCCUUCAGGACUGGACCUGCAUCCCGGGCCUGCAGUCGGAUUGCCAGUUUCACUCAGAGAUGGAAAUGUCAACCCACUGUUUGGAGUGAAAAGGGGGGUGUGGGGUGGGGGAGUAGCUUCAUUUCUAUCUGCCCAGGAGGCCAGCCUCUUCCUGCCUAGGCAUUUCCUUCCUGCAGUAUGGGAAGGACCAGGCUUUCUCAGACCAUAGAAGGUUGAGAGCCAAUUCCGUCUGGAGCGAGUGGUGGCUACCAGCCUUGGGUCUACAUAACUAGGGCUCCGCAGCCUUCUUGUGUACCCCUAGGAGGAGAAACACCUGGCAAUUUAAAUUUUUGAAAAUAACUUUUAAAAACAUUAGUAUAGGGCUGGGCGCGGUGGCUCACGCCUGUAAUCCCAGCACUUUGGGAGGCCAAGGCGGGUGGAUCACGAGGUCAAGAGAUUGAGACCAUCCUGGUCAACAUGGUGAAAUCCUGUCUCUACUAAAAAUACAAAAAAUUAGCCAGGCACGGUGGCAUGCGCCUGUAAUCCCAGCUACUUUGGAGCCUGAGGCAGGAAAAUUGCAUGAACCCAGGAGGCGGAGGUUGUGGUGAGCCGAGAUCCCACCAUUGCACUCCAGCCUGGGUAACAAAAGCGAAACUCCGUCUCGGGGGGAAAAAAAAAAUUAGUAUAGCACACACACACACACACACACACACACACACAGAAAAGUCCACAAAUCCUCACUAGAUGAAUGAUCCCAACAGGCACACACCUCUGAAGUUAACACCUGGAUCGAGAAACAGGAAAUCACAGCAGCUGGCAGCUUCCAAGGAGAAGCUCCAGAAAGUUCUGCCUGUCUCAUCACCUGGCUGCAGCGGAAACGAGUUUUCUUUAACAAGAUUUUUAAUGACUGACGGAUGUGGACAAAUCAUAACUGAAUGAAUAACCUCCUUUGUUACUUUUUUGGUACUUUAUUUGCUAUUAUAAAUGAUGCUGUAAUAAGCACCCUUGAAGAAAUCUUCAUGUUUGCUUCUGCUGUAUCACAGCAGUGUCACAGUGUCACAGUGCCCGGGUUUGGUUCUAGCCCUCAUUUGUGAACUGUGUGACUCACUGUGCCUUUUUUUCUUUCUGUAAAAUGGGAAUAAUGGUAAGAAUUUAAAUGGCGUAAGAUGGAAUGGGUUUAGUUCAGAGCUCGGGUUUAGCUGAGAGCAAGCACUCAGUAAGUAUCAGCGAUUAGUAGACUCAGAUUAAUUUAUUAGAAGUUGGAUUUGUGGUGAAAGGGUUAGAGUGUUUUUAAGGCUUUGGCACAGAAAAUAUCCAUGUGCUCCCAGAAAGGUGGUUCCCAUUUACCUGCCCGAACUGCCCUUACCCUUUCUGAUACUGGACACUGUUUUCGAAAUGAAUAUUAAAAAUUGGAUAGGUUAAAAACAAGCGGACACAUUUUCUGGUUGCAUUUUUUUCGUUACCUGUGAGAGUGAACACGUUGCCUUGUGUUUGUCGUCCUCCUAAAUGGUCUACUUGCUCCUACCUUUGUACCCCAGAAGUCUGUUCUCAAGACGAUAGCCAGAAUGAUCCUUUUGAGACAUCGAUCAAAAUUUCACUCAUCUGCUUAAAGCUCUGCAGUGGUUCUCAGGUUAAAAGCCAAAGUCCUGUUCGAGGCCUCCCAAGUCCUCACCAUUUGGUCCCUUGCUCUUUCUGUUCCAGCCACCUUGGCCUCCUCCUGCUCUCCCGCCACACCCUGCUCUUGGCCAUUUCCCCUGCUCUUUGUAGUCAACUCCCUGAACUUGUUCAAAGCUUCGCCCAAAUGUCUCAUUCCUCAUGAGGCGCCACCAGCCCCUGAGUUCCCCAUACCUCACUCCCGAUGGCCUUACUUCACUCUUUUUUUUUCCCAAUAGUACUUAUCACCUUCUAAGAUACUUCAUGUUUACUUACUUGUUUGUUUGCCUCUCUCCAAUAGAAUGUAAGCUCCUUGAGGGCAGGGACCUUUGUCUUAUUCACUGCUGUGUCCCAUGUGUAAACUUGUCUGGCACAGAAGAGGUGCUCGAUAAAUAUUUGUUGAGCGAAUGAAUGGUAAAUUUUCUGUUCAUAUUCUUUGAUUAUUUUCUAUUACAAUGUUCAUCUUUUUAGUAUUGGUUUAUAAGAUGUAGUAUAUGUAGCCCCUUUUCAUAUAUCUCAUUGUCACAUAUUGUGCAACUAAUUUGUCAUUUCCAUCAAUUUCUAAAAUACGUUUCUUGAUGCUUCA